GUACUGUAGUGUCUUUUGGUUUGAGGUGCUUGCUGUGUACUAGCUGCUGGUGCCUGCAGGCAGUCCUCGGUUGCCCAGGAAACACAGAUGGUGGAUGAAGGGCGCGCAUACAAAAGACCAUAAACCUGUGGCAGCAGCUGGAGACCGAGACCACUGAUUAAUUCAGGUCUGUGCAGCCCCGCUUUAGUCAAAGACGUCUCUGUUCUCUCUAAUACCUCCCAUCCAUUUUCUUUGUCCCGGGGCUUCCGUCUUCCACUUUAUCCUGUUUUCCCUGGACUGGUCUGCCGUCAGUGCGCAGCUGUUGUUGGCACUCCCACAUCUGCUUGUCUCGGAUCGGCAGCCAUGUAGACGACGCUCUGCCGCGGCUCGUGUUAGUGCGUAGCGUGUAGGUCCAGGGGGCGAGCAGCCUUUUACUGCGGGCUAAUCACUGCACACACACGGCGUGAAUUUGCAGGGUCGGCAGCUUGCCCUGAGCAUGGAAGAAGAAGGAGAGGAAGAAGAAAAAGAAGAAAGAGAAGAAGUGAUGUUUUCGCACCGUCUGAUACUGCGGGACAGGUGCAUGUGAACCUGGAGAUCACUGGUUACCUUAUGGUCGGGGGAUUCAUCUACAGAGCUGCAGGCACGUCACCAGUCGGGAAACUAGGAGGAUCCAAAUGGGAACCAACAGCAGUACAGGUUAUGUGUACAGGCUGGAUUAUAUUUAUCACAAAUCAUGACGGAGGGUAGUUUUUUAAUAGUACACAACAUCAAAUAGAUAAUUUAGCAGUAUUACUCAGUCAGUUAGAUAACAUGUCUUUUAGCAGUGGGUGUAUUUCAAUGUAAUUUGUGUGAGACUAAAUAAAAACAGCAAGGGGAAACAAUGAAACGAAAGCACGAGUAAUCCCUGGUGUAUCUUUGGAGGACAGUUGGGUUGCGUCCCACUUUUCUGCUGCUUUGUCUUGUGUGUUCCUCUCCAGUUACACUGAUGAACAAAGCAGAACCGGGGCUCGCGCUGGACCUCACGAGCUGCACGGCUCCACCGCCCUCCGCUGUGCUGCCUCACAGACUGUGAUCGAUGCAUGCUGCCACCACUGCCGUCCUGUACCUUCAGAAGGAGAGGAUCCAUGUCCAAGUGUUCCCCCACCAGGAGACGACUUCUGCUGCCUCUGUGUAUCAGUGAAAAGGGCUUUGAAGAGUUCAAAAUGCCACCACCGCUUUGUAGUCAGUGUCAGCAUGAUCAGAUUUAAGAGGAAGGUAUUUCACGGGUGGUGUUCUGAGUCCAAAAUAAUCUGCUGCAGUGUUCUCUCCUGUUUCUCUCAAAUGUGCGUAAUUUCUGAGCUGUAACACUGAUAUAGCCUCAUCCACCCCCACUCUCAUGGUUUUUUUUUUUUGUGUUUUUUUUUUCUUUGGGCUGAUCACAAACACAGACACUGCAGCCAUCAAACAACCCACUCAUGCUUGUUUUCUUCAGCCGCCUUGUGCAGUGACCUCCUCGCUCCAUUACCUUGGCCACUCUAACACUGCGGCCACUUCUCCCCACAUAAGACACUUUAAAUGCACCAUAAGUGGUGUUUUAACAUGUGUUAACUUCUCAGCAAAGCGAGUCUGUAUCCAUGCCAGAUCCAGAACUGGAAAGCUUUAAUGUUUCAAGCCUGUGAUGUUUAAAAAAAAUCUGCUUCAGUGUGUGACUAGUUUUCUCACAUUAUGACAAUGUGUAAUUCUCACAGUAUGUUCUUUGUUUGUCUUGAAACACCUUAAUUUGGGUGUGAAACCAGCUACUUUUUACAAUACACUCUGUGUAUUUUUUACUGUAGCGUGUGGGCGUGCGUGUGUGUGUCUGCGUGAGUGCAUGUGUUUGUGUGCAUGUGCUCUAUUUGUGUGUGUUUUUUC